UACGUAAGGUCCGAGCGUUGUCCGGAAUCAUUGGGCGUACAGGGUACGUAGGCGGAUAAGCAAGUUAGAAGUGAAAUCCUAUAGCUCAACUAUAGUAAGCUUUUAAAACUGUUUAACUUGAGAGAUGGAAGGGAAAGUGGAAUUCCUAGUGUAGCGGUGAAAUGCGCAGAUAUUAGGAGGAAUACCGGUGGCGAAGGCGACUUUCUGGCCAUAAACUGACGCUGAUGUGCGAAAGCGUGGGGAUCAAACAGG
rnacentral:rRNA from 1 species